ensembl:lncRNA
GUUACUUUGUUGAAAUAAAUGGAUUACACUGCGGUACUUUUGUUCCAGGUGGCAGCGUUACGGUUGCCAUGGUUACAGGGCGACGCUCUCUCUCUCUGUCUGCGACUGUGUGUUUCCUGGGUGAGAGAGCGCCUUUUCGUUGUUGUUGUUGUGCUAAGCUAACAGGCAGAAUGCUACAAGCAUAGCUCUAAAGAAUGUAGCAUCAUGGGCAGUAUAGUUCGUGUUGCAGGGAGAAUGGACUGCCAUACACGUUAUGUGUCUGUGAGCGCGAGGAGGGAGAAAAAGGCGAGUGGAAAGGUACGAGUUGUCGUCGAGGAAAAACGGGAGCUGGAAACAUGUAAAUAUAACUAGAAAGUGCAUUUUCUGAAGAAACUGCAGUGUGAAUGCUUGAAUCUGAAUGUAUGCACUGAAAUGAAUUAAUUGCUGAAUUUUGAGUUAAAAAUAUUGAAUGAGAUUAAAAAAAAAACAAAAAAAAAAAAAAUGAAUUUAACCUGAAAACAAAAGUGCUGAACUGCUAAAAGCUGAAGGUUACACAGAAGAAGGAGUUGGAAAAAAACUGAAAAUGUUUUAAAUGUAAAUUAGAAAACCCUAAGAAAUGAGAAAAGAACAUUUAGAGUCAGAAAACAUCUGAAUGAAUAUUAAAAGGUCAUAUUCUUUGAAUCACUGAAUGACUCAAAUGUGAUCCCUCCACUUUGAUCCACACAGUUUAAAAAGUUUAAAUGCCUGAGCUUUGAAAGAUACGGUGUUGGAAAGAGAACAAUAAUGGCGACAAUUUGAGGGUAAAAUGAUGGCUGUAACACUGUGGACACAGCAGCAGUUGAAAGAGAAGUGCUUAAGAUGAAUCUUGGCAGAGUGAGAGAGAGAGCUCGUUAAGCAGGCAGGUGUGAGCCUGGUUGCUAUAGUGACCGCACCCAAUGGCUCCAUACACACGUACACAGACAUGCGCCUCACUUUUGCUGCUUAAAAUGAACAGAAAAGUCAGGCCGAAACAAAUCGUUCCCAAAUGAAAAGUAAAAGUCGUAUUGACAAAAUUCUUUCACCGUGAGCGACAGCAGCUUCUAGUCUACCUAAUUCUCAGUUUUCAUGUCUGUGGAGUUUAUUAUAUGGACGUGGUGACAGUGGAAAGACCCAAUGCUCUUCUGAUUUUCAAACGAACCUUCUGAGCCAUUUUAACAUUAGAGUCUAUGGAAGAGUUGGAGGGAGGAGGCUGUGCAUUGGUGACAUUUACGAAAGAACCAUAACACCUAGGACAAUAGUAAACACAUUGGAUGAAAGAGGACAGCGAUGGCUACGUUUUGAGGGUAAAAUCAUACCUGUAGAGCAAACGCUGCGGACACAGCAGCAGUUUUAAAAAAGAUUUUAAGAUUAAUUUUUUUGCUCCUCUCACUCUAGCAGUUGAGCUGCCUCACUCUAGCCCCAACAUUCCGUCCCAUACACACCCAUUAUAAACUCUGAAACGGGUGAAAAAACAUCAUGAAACUUAAACUGGAACUGAAGAAAAAGUAUAAUAGAUAUUGAAAAGAUAAAUACAAGUUGAAUAGUUGAAUGUCUUGUCUUCGUUUUAAAGUUUGAAUGGUGGCUCUAUGUCAAUGUAUGUGGAAGUAGAUACAGUUUAAAGAGGAGGAAGUUGAAUGAGAAUUUGAAGGGUCUCCCCAUUGAAAUACAUUAUAAAUUUUUGUUGAAAAAAGUUGAAUAAAAUUAAAAAUAUAAAUGUUAAAAAUGAGAAAAAUAGAAGCAAUGUUGUCCAAAAGAAUAGGAAUCUAACGGUGUUUGAAUGGUUUUUCUAAGUUGAACGGUUUUGAAGGAGUAGGCUUUCAAAAAACGUACGGAAUAGAUAAUAAUAAAAUAGAACUAGAAAGUGCAUUUUCUGAAGAAACUGCAGUGUGAAUGCUUGAAUCUGAAUGUAUGCAUUGAAAUGAAAUAAUUACUGAAUUUAAGUUAAAAAUUUUGAAUGAGAUAAAAAAAAAACAACCCGAAUUUAACCUGAAAACAAAAGUGCUGAACUGCUAAAAGCUGAAGGUUACACAGAAGAAGGAGUUGGAAAAAAACUGAAAAUGUUUUAAAUGUAAAUUAGAAAACCCUAAGAAAUGAGAAAAGAACAUUUAGAGUCAGAAAACAUCUGAAUGAAUAUUAAAAGGUCAUAUUCUUUGAAUCACUGAAUGACUCAAAUGUGAUCCCUCCACUUUGAUCCACACAGUUUAAAAAGUUUAAAUGCCUGAGCUUUGAAAGAUACGGUGUUGGAAAGAGAACAAUAAUGGCGACAAUUUGAGGGUAAAAUGAUGGCUGUAACACUGUGGACACAGCAGCAGUUGAAAGAGAAGUGUUUAAGAUGAAUCUUGGCACAGUGGCAGGCAGAGCUCGUUAAGCAGGCAGGUGUGAGCCUGGUUGCUAUAGUGACCGCACCCAAUGGCUCCAUACACACGUACACAGACAUGCGCCUCACUUUUGCUGCUUAAAAUGAACAGAAAAGUCAGGCCGAAACAAAUCGUUCCCAAAUGAAAAGUAAAAGUCGUAUUGACGAAAUUCUUUCACCGUGAGCGACAGCAAUGUCUAGUCUACCUAAUUCUCAGUUUUCAUGCCUGUGGAGCUUAUUAUAUGGACGUGGUGACAGUGGAAAGG